CCCUUAGAUGUUCUGGGCCGCACGCGUGCUACACUGAGUAAAUCAAUGGGUAAGGGAACACGAAAGUGCAACCUAAUCUUGAAAUUUGCUCGUGAUGGGGAUCGACGGUUGCAAUUUUCCGUCGUGAACGAGGAAUACCUUGUAGGCGCGUGUCAUCAUCACGCGCCGAAUACGUCCCUGCCCUUUGUACACACCGCCCGUCGCUCCUACCGAUUGAGUGAUCCGGUGAGGCUCUGGGACCUGGACGGAAAGAGCGUUUCGCUUGUUCUGUUCGGGAAACUUGGUCGAACCUUAUCAUUUAGAGGAAGGAGAAGUCGUAACA
rnacentral:rRNA from 1 species